rnacentral:rRNA from 1 species
UUUAUGGAGAGUUUGAUCCUGGCUCAGAGUGAACGCUGGCGGCGUGCCUAAUACAUGCAAGUCGAACGAUGAAGCUUCUAGCUUGCUAGAAUGCUGAUUAGUGGCGCACGGGUGAGUAACGCAUAGGUUAUGUGCCUUUUAGUUUGGGAUAGCCAUUGGAAACGAUGAUUAAUACCAGAUACUCCCUACGGGGGAAAGAUUUAUCGCUAAGAGAUCAGCCUAUGUCCUAUCAGCUUGUUGGUAAGGUAAUGGCUUACCAAGGCUAUGACGGGUAUCCGGCCUGAGAGGGUGAACGGACACACUGGAACUGAGACACGGUCCAGACUCCUACGGGAGGCAGCAGUAGGGAAUAUUGCUCAAUGGGGGAAACCCUGAAGCAGCAACGCCGCGUGGAGGAUGAAGGUUUUAGGAUUGUAAACUCCUUUUGUUAGAGAAGAUAAUGACGGUAUCUAACGAAUAAGCACCGGCUAACUCCGUGCCAGCAGCCGCGGUAAUACGGAGGGUGCAAGCGUUACUCGGAAUCACUGGGCGUAAAGAGCGCGUAGGCGGGAUAGUCAGUCAGGUGUGAAAUCCUAUGGCUUAACCAUAGAACUGCAUUUGAAACUACUAUUCUAGAGUGUGGGAGAGGUAGGUGGAAUUCUUGGUGUAGGGGUAAAAUCCGUAGAGAUCAAGAGGAAUACUCAUUGCGAAGGCGACCUGCUGGAACAUUACUGACGCUGAUUGCGCGAAAGCGUGGGGAGCAAACAGGAUUAGAUACCCUGGUAGUCCACGCCCUAAACGAUGGAUGCUAGUUGUUGGAGGGCUUAGUCUCUCCAGUAAUGCAGCUAACGCAUUAAGCAUCCCGCCUGGGGAGUACGGUCGCAAGAUUAAAACUCAAAGGAAUAGACGGGGACCCGCACAAGCGGUGGAGCAUGUGGUUUAAUUCGAAGAUACACGAAGAACCUUACCUAGGCUUGACAUUGAGAGAAUCCGCUAGAAAUAGUGGAGUGUCUGGCUUGCCAGACCUUGAAAACAGGUGCUGCACGGCUGUCGUCAGCUCGUGUCGUGAGAUGUUGGGUUAAGUCCCGCAACGAGCGCAACCCCCUUUCUUAGUUGCUAACAGGUCAUGCUGAGAACUCUAAGGAUACUGCCUCCGUAAGGAGGAGGAAGGUGGGGACGACGUCAAGUCAUCAUGGCCCUUACGCCUAGGGCUACACACGUGCUACAAUGGGGUGCACAAAGAGAAGCAAUACUGCGAAGUGGAGCCAAUCUUCAAAACGCCUCUCAGUUCGGAUUGUAGGCUGCAACUCGCCUGCAUGAAGCUGGAAUCGCUAGUAAUCGCAAAUCAGCCAUGUUGCGGUGAAUACGUUCCCGGGUCUUGUACUCACCGCCCGUCACACCAUGGGAGUUGUGUUUGCCUUAAGUCAGGAUGCUAAAUUGGCUACUGCCCACGGCACACACAGCGACUGGGGUGAAGUCGUAACAAGGUAACCGUAGGUGAACCUGCGGUUGGAUCACCUCCUUUCUAGA